UACGGAGGGGGCUAGCGUUGUUCGGAAUUACUGGGCGUAAAGCGCGCGUAGGCGGCUUUGUGAGUUAGAGGGGAAAGCCCGGGGCUCAACCCCGGAAUUGCCUUUAAGACUGCAUCGCUUGAACACGGGAGAGGUGAGUGGAAUUCCGAGUGUAGAGGUGAAAUGCGUAGAUAUCUGGAGGAACACCGGUGGCGAAGGCGGCAUCCUGGACCAAUAUUGACGCUGAGGAGCGAAAGCUAGGGGAGCAAACGGG
rnacentral:rRNA from 1 species